rnacentral:rRNA from 1 species
AUUGAACGCUGGCGGCAGGCCUAACACAUGCAAGUCGAGCGGUAGAGAGGAGCUUGCUUCUCUUGAGAGCGGCGGACGGGUGAGUGAUGCCUAGGAAUCUGCCUGGUAGUGGGGGAUAACGUUCGGAAACGGACGCUAAUACCGCAUACGUCCUACGGGAGAAAGUGGGGGAUCUUCGGACCUCACGCUAUCAGAUGAGCCUAGGUCGGAUUAGCUAGUUGGUGAGGUAAUGGCUCACCAAGGCGACGAUCCGUAACUGGUCUGAGAGGAUGAUCAGUCACACUGGAACUGAGACACGGUCCAGACUCCUACGGGAGGCAGCAGUGGGGAAUAUUGGACAAUGGGCGCAAGCCUGAUCCAGCCAUGCCGCGUGUGUGAAGAAGGUCUUCGGAUUGUAAAGCUCUUUUGUCAGGGAAGAAACACCGGCUCUAACACAGUCCGGGAAUGACGGUACCUGAAGAAUAAGCACCGGCUAACUACGUG